rnacentral:rRNA from 1 species
UGGGGAAUAUUGGACAAUGGGCGCAAGCCUGAUCCAGCCAUGCCGCGUGAGUGAUGAAGGCCCUAGGGGUGUAAAGCUCUUUCACCGGUGAAGAUAAUGACGGUAACCGGAGAAGAAGCCCCGGCUAACUUCGUGCCAGCAGCCGCGGUAAUACGAAGGGGGCUAGCGUUGUUCGGAUUUACUGGGCGUAAAGCGCACGUAGGCGGACUAUUAAGUCAGGGGUGAAAUCCCGGGGCUCAACCCCGGAACUGCCUUUGAUACUGGUAGUCUUGAGUUCGAGAGAGGUGAGUGGAAUUCCGAGUGUAGAGGUGAAAUUCGUAGAUAUUCGGAGGAACACCAGUGGCGAAGGCGGCUCACUAGCUCGAUACUGACGCUGAGGUGCGAAAGCGUGGGGAGCAAACAGG